rnacentral:tRNA from 1 species
AAGAUUUUAAGUUAAAAUUAAAACUAAUAAUUUUCAAAAUUAUAAAUAUUAUAUCAUUUUAAAUCUUA